AUACGGAGGAUGCGAGCGUUAUCCGGAUUUAUUGGGUUUAAAGGGAGCGUAGGUGGGAUAUUAAGUCAGCUGUGAAAGUUUGGGGCUCAACCUUAAAAUUGCAGUUGAUACUGGUUUCCUUGAGUACGGUACAGGUGGGCGGAAUUCGUGGUGUAGCGGUGAAAUGCUUAGAUAUCACGAAGAACUCCGAUCGCGAAGGCAGCUCACCGGGCCGGAACUGACACUGAUGCUCGAAAGUGCGGGUAUCAAACAGGGUUAGAUACCCUGGUAGUCCGCACAGUAAACGAUGAAUACUCGCUGUUUGCGAUACACUGUAAGCGGCCAAGCGAAAGCGUUAAGUAUUCCACCUGGGGAGUACGCCGGCAACGGUGAAACUCAAAUGAAUUGACGGGG
rnacentral:rRNA from 1 species